GUAGGUAUAGCUCAGUGGUAGAGUGGAUGCUUAGCCAGCAGAUGUCCUGGGUUCAAUCCUCAGUACCUCCA
rnacentral:tRNA from 1 species